rnacentral:rRNA from 1 species
GACGAACGCUGGCGGCGCGCUUAACACAUGCAAGUCGAGCGAGAACCAGGGCUUCGGCCCUGGGGACAGCGGCGAACGGGUGAGUAACACGUGGGUAAUCUGCCCUCGGCACCGGAAUAGCCCGGGGAAACCCGGAUUAAUGCCGGAUGGCCCCUUCACCUCGCGAGGUGUCGGGAAAAGGUAGCUUCGGCCUCUGGCCGAGGAUGAGCCCGCGGCGGAUUAGCUUGUUGGCGGGGUAACGGCCCACCAAGGCAACGAUCCGUAGCUGGUCUGAGAGGACGAUCAGCCACACUGGGACUGAGACACGGCCCAGACUCCUACGGGAGGCAGCAGUGGGGAAUCUUGCGCAAUGGGCGAAAGCCUGACGCAGCGACGCCGCGUGAGGGAAGACGGCCUUCGGGUUGUAAACCUCUUUCAGGAGGGACGAAGCUACUCGGGUGAAUAGCCCAGAGGGUGACGGUACCUCCAGAAGAAGCCCCGGCUAACUACGUGCCAGCAGCCGCCGUAACAC